rnacentral:rRNA from 1 species
CGGGACACGUGGUAUCCUGUCUGAAUAUGGGGGGACCAUCCUCCAAGGCUAAAUACUCCUGACUGACCGAUAGUGAACCAGUACCGUGAGGGAAAGGCGAAAAGAACCCCGGCGAGGGGAGUGAAAAAGAACCUGAAACCGUGUACGUACAAGCAGUGGGAGCACGCUUAGGCGUGUGACUGCGUACCUUUUGUAUAAUGGGUCAGCGACUUAUAUUCUGUAGCAAGGUUAACCGAAUAGGGGAGCCGAAGGGAAACCGAGUCUUAACUGGGCGUUAAGUUGCAGGGUAUAGACCCGAAACCCGGUGAUCUAGCCAUGGGCAGGUUGAAGGUUGGGUAACACUAACUGGAGGACCGAACCGACUAAUGUUGAAAAAUUAGCGGAUGACUUGUGGCUGGGGGUGAAAGGCCAAUCAAACCGGGAGAUAGCUGGUUCUCCCCGAAAGCUAUUUAGGUAGCGCCUCGUGAAUUCAUCUCCGGGGGUAGAGCACUGUUUCGGCAAGGGGGUCAUCCCGACUUACCAACCCGAUGCAAACUGCGAAUACCGGAGAAUGUUAUCACGGGAGACACACGGCGGGUGCUAACGUCCGUCGUGAAGAGGGAAACAACCCAGACCGCCAGCUAAGGUCCCAAAGUCAUGGUUAAGUGGGAAACGAUGUGGGAAGGCCCAGACAGCCAGGAUGUUGGCUUAGAAGCAGCCAUCAUUUAAAGAAAGCGUAAUAGCUCACUGGUCGAGUCGGCCUGCGCGGAAGAUGUAACGGGGCUAAACCAUGCACCGAAGCUGCGGCAGCGACGCUGAUGCGUUGUUGGGUAGGGGAGCGUUCUGUAAGCCUGUGAAGGUGUGCUGUGAGGCAUGCUGGAGGUAUCAGAAGUGCGAAUGCUGACAUAAGUAACGAUAAAGCGGGUGAAAAGCCCGCUCGCCGGAAGACCAAGGGUUCCUGUCCAACGUUAAUCGGGGCAGGGUGAGUCGACCCCUAAGGCGAGGCCGAAAGGCGUAGUCGAUGGGAAACAGGUUAAUAUUCCUGUACUUGGUGUUACUGCGAAGGGGGGACGGAGAAGGCUAUGUUGGCCGGGCGACGGUUGUCCCGGUUUAAGCGUGUAGGCUGGUUUUCCAGGCAAAUCCGGAAAAUCAAGGCUGAGGCGUGAUGACGAGGCACUACGGUGCUGAAGCAACAAAUGCCCUGCUUCCAGGAAAAGCCUCUAAGCAUCAGGUAACAUCAAAUCGUACCCCAAACCGACACAGGUGGUCAGGUAGAGAAUACCAAGGCGCUUGAGAGAACUCGGGUGAAGGAACUAGGCAAAAUGGUGCCGUAACUUCGGGAGAAGGCACGCUGAUAUGUAGGUGAAGCGACUUGCUCGUGGAGCUGAAAUCAGUCGAAGAUACCAGCUGGCUGCAACUGUUUAUUAAAAACACAGCACUGUGCAAACACGAAAGUGGACGUAUACGGUGUGACGCCUGCCCGGUGCCGGAAGGUUAAUUGAUGGGGUCAGCGCAAGCGAAGCUCUUGAUCGAAGCCCCGGUAAACGGCGGCCGUAACUAUAACGGUCCUAAGGUAGCGAAAUUCCUUGUCGGGUAAGUUCCGACCUGCACGAAUGGCGUAAUGAUGGCCAGGCUGUCUCCACCCGAGACUCAGUGAA